CAGCGCAAACGGAAAUGGCGCUCUGCCUCACGAAGACAAACAACCUGGAGGGGGCGAUGAAUGCAGGAAGGAGCCAAGUGAAUAGUGGAGAGAAACACAUAUUAUUACACAAUUUCUUCUACGGUGACUCCAGUCCGCCUUGCAUUACUACUGCUCUGCAGGUGCUCCUCCACAGACUCCAACCGCAUUGACACACGCAGCAGACAGGCCUCUCUGCGCAGGACCACCUCCUCUCUCCUCCUCAGCUCCUCCUCCAGCUCCUGCAGCUCUGCUCUCUUCUGAAGCACCCGCUCCUCCUCCUGCUCCAGCCAGCUGCUGUCACACAGCUACAGGGAGG